rnacentral:rRNA from 1 species
CCUACGGGAGGCAGCAGUAAGGAAUAUUGGUCAAUGGACGAAAGUCUGAACCAGCCAUGCCGCGUGAAGGAUGAAGGUCCUCUGGAUUGUAAACUUCUUUUAUAUGGGACGAAAAAAGGCUUUUCUAGGUCGUCUGACGGUACCAUAUGAAUAAGCACCGGCUAACUCCGUGCCAGCAGCCGCGGUAAUACGGAGGGUGCAAGCGUUAUCCGGAUUCACUGGGUUUAAAGGGUGCGUAGGUGGGCAGGUAAGUCAGUGGUGAAAUCCCCGAGCUCAACUUGGGAACUGCCAUUGAUACUAUCUGUCUUGAAUACCGUGGAGGUUAGCGGAAUAUGUCAUGUAGCGGUGAAAUGCUUAGAUAUGACAUAGAACACCGAUUGCGAAGGCAGCUGGCUACACGAAUAUUGACACUGAGGCACGAAAGCGUGGGGAUCAAACAGGAUUAGAUACCCUGGUAGUCCACGCCCUAAACGAUGGAUACUCGACAUAUGCGAUACACUGUAUGUGUCUGAGCGAAAGCAUUAAGUAUCCCACCUGGGAAGUACGACCGCAAGGUUGAAACUCAAAGGAAUUGACGG